GAUGAACGCUAGCGAUAGGCCUAACACAUGCAAGUCGAGGGGCAUCACAUGAAGUAGCAAUACGGAUGGUGGCGACCGGCGCACGGGUGAGUAACACGUAUGCAACCUGCCUUCAACAAGGGGAUAACCCGUUGAAAGACGGACUAAUACCCUAUAACACAGGGGUCCCGCAUGGGAAUAUUUGUUAAAGGACAACCGGUUGAAGAUGGGCAUGCGUUCCAUUAGCUAGUUGGCGGGGUAACGGCCCACCAAGGCAACGAUGGAUAGGGGAACUGAGAGGUUUAUCCCCCACACUGGUACUGAGACACGGACCAGACUCCUACGGGAGGCAGCAGUGAGGAAUAUUGGUCAAUGGACGCAAGUCUGAACCAGCCACGUCGCGUGAAGGAAGACGGCCCUACGGGUUGUAAACUUCUUUUAUACGGGGAAUAAAGUGCCCCACGCGUGGGGUUUUGCAUGUACCGUAUGAUAAGGAUCGGCUAACUCCGUGCCAGCAGCCGCGGUAAGUACUGACU
rnacentral:rRNA from 1 species